UUGUUAAACUGAAUUUGUAAACUGAAUUUGUAAACUGUAUUUGCAAGAGAUUCAAUGACUCUUAUAGAAUUGUGAAAAGAUUGUGUAGUAUAUACAAGGUUCAAUUUGUAUCAUCAAAUUGUUUGUGUCAACUUUACAAGGUUCAAUUGUACAUACAAGGUUCAAUUUGUAGAAUCAUCCAAUUGUUGUUCAAAUUUAGAUCGAUCCAAAUAGAAUUAUAAUGCUGAGAAUAUAUUUCUCUAUUGAUGAUUUCUAAUUCAAGUGUGAACCAUUUGACACUUAUCCAAGAACCUAUGAUUUUCUGCAUGCUUCAUACCUUCUUUCCGUUGAGAAGAAAAGCAGGUGAAGUGGGUCUCCGCAGCUUCUGCUUCUCAGUGGAAUUGGACCAAGGCCUUAUCUUUCUUCAUGGGGAAUUCCUGCUGCUCAUCAUUUACGUUAUGUAAGUCACUUUCUGUAUGAUAAUCCACGAAACGGAAUCACAUUUCUACCGUCGGUUCCACUUGAGCAUACUCUCAUUGAGGUUGUAGGCAUAACUGAUUCAGGUGCUUACAUUGAAGCUGCUUCUAAUGUGGUUCCGUUUUCGACGCCGCAACAAAUGGUUUUCAUCUGUCCAGCUACUUCUCCGCUUUACUUGACUAUCGUGACGCUAAUAUCGAAGAUUUCAGGACCGGUUUCUACAGGGUUACUUCGACUGGCUGAAUCAGAUAAUAAACCAUGUUGCAUGGUUGUUGAACCGAAAUAUUAGGACUGUUGUACUGAAUGAUGCAGGGACUGAACCGAGUUAUACAGGUGAUGUACCGAAUGAUGCAGGGGAGAAACCAAGUCGUACACCUGAUAUAUUGAAUACUGCAGGUGCUGAAUCAGGGACGCGGUGAUGGCUGUUUGAAACUCCUGUAUAAGGGCCUUCACCGUAAGGAUCAAAUGCGAAACUCUCUUAGUGUAGUAAUCUCUUUUCAUCUUCCCAUCACCUAACUACUUGAUUAAUUCACUACUCUAUUGCAGAAGAAGAAUACCUAUUCAUCUCUUUUCAUCUUUCCAUCACCUCACUGUUUGAUUAAUACACUACUUACAUAUUGCAUUAUAAUGGUUUUGAAUAUGUAAGUAGCACUGUGGUGAAUGUAAAUCAAACUUGCUUUGUUCUUUUUAGGCUUAUGCCGAAGAGGACGGUCCUCUUCCCAUCACCUCACCUAAUCGACAUCAAAUGUCCGUCAAUGGGCAUUAGUGUCGGAUUGGACACUAACGAACACAUAUCAGGUAUUUGAUCACAAGACAUAGGCACUGACACGUUGACAUCUUUGCCGGAUUGGACACUAACGAAGGCAUGUUACGUAUCUGAUUGAAAGUGUAUGUGUUGUUAAGGCAGAAACAUGAUUUAAUUUUUUUUUCUUUGUUCUAAAGGUUUGUAUGAAAUUUGUUCAGAGAAAGAGUGUUUGUGCCGAUUACGAAGCCUUAUGUAUCAUUUAUUGGUAGAAGAAAUCUAACUGCAGGUCCUAUAAUUACUUGGAACGGUAAAUCUUCGGACAGAGUAUGGUGCACAGCUGAUAUUAUCAAAUUAUGUAUUUAUAUAUGCUACAUAACAGUUAUCAGAAGUUA